ensembl:lncRNA
AGAUAUCCACAAAUAUCUAAUGUAUAUGAAACUUUAAUGGCACAAUCUUGCAAUUUGGAGAAAGGGAGAUGUAGACAGGAGAUGAUGAACGGGAAACAAAACCAUUUGGAAUUUGCUGAAGGGGACUGACUUUUCGAUGCUGGUAGAUUUGUUCACGGGAUGCCCAUUAAUCACGUAAUUGCUAUGUGCCAACCACAGUGCUGGGGGUGGGUGACUGUGCUGAGCCAGACCUCUGACCCUUGCCCUCAGAGAGGGGCUGGGCUGGGCUCCUACUCAGACAUUUUGGACAUUUCUUCCUUCUCUCCUCAGCAUCCCUGCCUUUGCAGAACCAUGGCUCCCCUUUCCUGCAGUCCUGGUGGGGCUGUUAACGUCAGUCUCCCCCAUCCCCACCUCAGGAGUGGGCACGAGACCCAGGCUGGCCAAUCAGAAUAGCCCAUCCCCCAGGCCAAUUAUAAUUGGUUCAAGAUCCAAGCACAGCCAAUCAGAGUCUUCCCUGAGAUAGGUAUAUGGUGUUGCUAGGCAGAAUAGAAGGUUGAGACUAUGGGCAGCCAUACCGAGCACCACUUGGAAAGGCCUGAAGAUGGACUGAAGCUAGAAACGGGUGGAAUCAACAUGCGGGGGAGGGAAGGGGAGAGAGACCCAGCGAGCCCAUUCACAGCCUGAGAUCCAUAUGCCUGAAGUCGUCCCACUUAUACGGGUCCAAAAAAAUCUAAUUUUGCUUAAGCUAUUUUGAUUUUUUUACAUGCGAGUCCUGAUUAAUACAUCAGGUAAUUCAGUAAUAGUAACAGAAUACUAAUAAUAAUUAUUGCAAUAAGUAAUAUUCAUUAAAUGCUUCCUACGUGCCAGGCACUGUUCUAUAUAUUAACUAAUUUAGCCUCCCCUCAAAAUUCAACGAGGUGGGUAGUAUUAGUGUCCCCACUUGACAGAUAAGGAAAUAGAGGCACCAAGAGGUUAAGCCACUUACCCACAGUCACACAGCCUGUCAGCGGCAGAGCUGGGGUUUGAACUCAGAGAGUCUGGCUCCAGGGCCCCUACUCUUAAUCACAACAUAAGCAAGUGCAGUAAUGGCAGCUCAAGCAAGGAGCUGUGAGAACACCCAGAAGGGGCAGGUCGCUCAGCCUGGGAGUCAGGGAGGGCCUCCUGGAGGAGAUGAGCUGUAACUUUCAUCUUGAGGAACAUGAAGGUGUUCACCAGGCAGACAAAGCAGGGAAGGGUGUUCCAGGCAGAGGGAACAGAAUGUGCAAAGCCCCAAAGGUGGGAAUACACAUUCAAGUUCAGGUAGGGACAGGUGCUUCCAUGAGGUCAGGGCAUGGGGUACAACCACAGGCGGAUGGUGAUGAGAGAUGAGGACACACAGGGCCUCGAGUGCCAGGCUUAGGGGCCAGGUGUUCGACUCAGGGGCACUGGGGAGCCAUGGGAGGGCUGUGAGCAGGGGAGGGACAGUAUCAGCUCUCGGCGAAGGAAGACCCCUCCGGGGCUGUGUGUGAGAUGAACUGGAGGGCUUAAGAUUGGAGGCUGAGGGGCCAGGGUGGAGAUUGGGGUGAGAGUCCAGGUGAGGGAAGCUGAGGCCUGAGCCCAGACUGCAGGGGAGAGAGGAGGGCACUGGGCGAAGUUAUGGGCAGGAGGGGUGGGACUGGGGACUGACAGGCUGUGGUGGGUGACGGGGAAGGAGGGCGCAAGGUGUGGCCCCACAACAGGGUGGACAGUGGCAGAAACAAAGAUGCUUCCACCCCCUCCUCUGAUGCAGCUCGGGGGCGAGUGGGGGCAAAACUCUGGCUUCUUCCUGUCCCCCAACAGGUCAGGCCAGGCACCACUGCUGGGUCUUUACACAGGCGAUUCCCAUAGAAUAAUCCUAACAAUAACCGUCACAGCCUAUUCUGACCCAUUCUGUCACUGUGUGCCAGGCGCUGGGCCACACUCUGCAUGUGUCAACUCAUUUAUUCCUCCCAAGGAAUACUGUACGAUUAUUGUCACCAUUUUGCAGAUGGGAAACUUGAGGGACAGAGGGGCUAAAUAUUUUGCCUGAAGGUCACAGAGCCAGGAAGUGGUGGAGCUGGGAUAUGAACACAGAACUCAUGAUUAUGGCCCACGUGUCACCCUGCCCCCCCCUUUAUUUUGGUGAGGAAGAUUGGCUCUGAGCUAACAUCUGUGCCAAUCUUCCUCUAUCUUGUAUGUGGGACGCUGCCACAGCGUGGCUUGAUGAGUGGUGUGUAGGUUCGCACCUGGGAUCUGAACCCGCAAACCCCGGGCCACCGAAGUGGAGUGUGCGAACCUAACCACUAUGCCACUGGGCUGGCCCCUGCCUCAUUCUUGACAUGUCUGAUCAUGACAGAUGGGGUGGGAGGAUGGCUUGCACUCGCUGGACAGCCUCACCCACCUGGACGGGUAACUCGCCGGGCUUCUCUCUCCUCCAUCCUGGGCUC